CGGACGUGAGGAACCUGCCUUGAAGAGGGGGACAACAGUUGGGAAACGACUGCUAAUACCGCAUGACGCAUAGAGGUCGCAUGAUCUUUAUGCCAAAGAUUUAUCGCUUCAAGAUGGCCUCGCGUCUGAUUAGCUAGUUGGCGGGGUAACGGCCCACCAAGGCGACGAUCAGUAGCCGGACUGAGAGGUUGAACGGCCACAUUGGGACUGAGAUACGGCCCAG
rnacentral:rRNA from 1 species